ACGAACGCUGGCGGCGUGCUUAACACAUGCAAGUCGAACGGAAAGGCCUCUUUCGGGGGGUACUCGAGUGGCGAACGGGUGAGUAACACGUGAGUAACCUGCCCUUGACUUUGGGAUAACUUCAGGAAACUGGGGCUAAUACCGGAUAGGAGCUCCUGCUGCAUGGUGGGGGUUGGAAAGUUUCGGCGGUUGGGGAUGGACUCGCGGCUUAUCAGCUUGUUGGUGGGGUAGUGGCUUACCAAGGCUUUGACGGGUAGCCGGCCUGAGAGGGUGACCGGCCACAUUGGGACUGAGAUACGGCCCAGACUCCUACGGGAGGCAGCAGUGGGGAAUAUUGCACAAUGGGUGGAAGCCUGAUGCAGCAACGCCGUGUGCGGGAUGACGGCCUUCGGGUUGUAAACCGCUUUCGCUCAUGACGAAGCUUUGUGUGACGGUAAUGGGUAAAGAAGCACCGGCUAACUACGUG
rnacentral:rRNA from 1 species